AACACUGACCACCACCUACCUCCCACAACUGCACGGGCUCCUAGAAUUGAAGUUCGGCUCCCCUGUUUGCUUCCUACCUUUAUGCCCAGGCCUGGCACAAAAGCCCCUCUGUAAGUGUUUAGUGAUCCCCUAGGCUGGUUCCUUGGUUGGCAUCCAAGACUCUCAAAGCAGGAAGUCACACUGGUAACAUGCGGCCCAACUCACCCACAGCAGCAGAAGAGACCGAGGCUCACGGGACCUCAGUGGCCGGGAAACACAGCAGCCCUGGGUCACCUGAUGUCUCACUUAGGUCUUAAAGGCAGCGCUGGGUUACCCAUGACCACACAGCUGUUCUGUGGCUUCCCAGUGUUCCCUGGUCACAGCUACUGUGAGCCACCCAGCCAGCCCCUUCUUUUCAUUUCAACCUCCACCCCACCCCUUGCUUUUUCUCCGGCUUCUGGUUGGUGGCUCCCAUAUUUUCAGAGACAAUUGAUCCUUCACAAAGAGGACCAGAGUUGGCUAUACUCUGCCUGGAACCAGGCUCACGGAGCAAGGGUGAUCCUGGAGCUCCCCCCACCCCAACCCCAGCCUGCUCAGGGUCAUUCACAGGACAGAAGUUCUUCAUGACCACAAGAACCAGCACCACCUCCAUACUCUAAAUUGCAACUCGGACGCUACAAGGAAAAGAUGCUCUCAGCACAACGGCUUCACAUCUGAACAUCGAAGAACAUGGAGUAAACUCGCCUGUGGCAAAGUCAUGGCAAAGAGAAGUUUC